rnacentral:tRNA from 1 species
CGCGCCGUAGCGCGGCGCACGCUCGCCGGCUCAGCGCGGCGGCGUCGCGUCGAGGUCGAACGUGAACGCGCGUUCGAACGUGCCCGGGCGG